AUUGAACGCUGGCGGCAGGCCUAACACAUGCAAGUCGAGCGAGCGGCGGACGGGUGAGUAAUGUCUGGGAAACUGCCUGAUGGAGGGGGGUAACUACUGUAAACGGUAGCUAAUAUCGCAUACCAUCAGAUGUGCCCAGAUGGGAUUAGCUGGUAGGUGGGGUAACGACUCACCUAUGCGACGAGCCCUAGCUGGUCUGAGAGGAUGACCAGCCACACUGGAACUGAGACACGGUCCAGACUCCUACGGGAGGCAGCAGGGGGGAAUAUUGCACAAUGGGCGAAAGCCGGAUGCAGCCAUGCCGCGUGUGUGAAGAAGGCCUUCGGGUUGUAAAGCACUUUCAGCGAGGAGGCGUUACCCGCAGAAGAAGCACCGGCUAACUCCGUGCCAGCAGCCGCGGUAAUUC
rnacentral:rRNA from 1 species